ACCAUCAAAUGAUGAGGAGAUGGUUUCAUAUAUUUUUACCUGACUCGACAUGGAGUUUAAUUCAAUCGCCUUAGCUAUUGUUGCAAGAGUGGAGCCUGUCAUGGUAACUGAGCUAUAUGCGCAAGUAUUAAGCUUUGAGA